UUUUCUUUAAUGUUGUCCUUCCUGAUCCAUACUUUUUUGCUGAAGAAUGCUGUGCCACAUAACAUGCACAUAAAGCCUUCCCUGCUUUACAGUGUUCACUUUACAUUCCAUUUCUCCCAUCCUAGCAGAAAGACAAACCCCAUGAUGUACUAAAGCUUCUCCACCACAACAGAGGCAUCCAAUAUAGAUUAAAAUAUUUUUAAUUAAAUACAGUAUCUAAGACCCUCUUGAGACCACGAAGGUGUCAUACUGGGCCACAGAAAAAAAAUCAGAAUUUCAGUCCUGUCGCUCCUGGUUUGGUAGAAACUGUCACAGGACGAAAGUACUUGGAAGUGUUUCUUUCCCAGUGUCAUCUGUGAUAUGGUCUGAUAGCCUAUUAGAGAAAAUCUGUGGGAGUCUUCUUGAAAAAAAAAUCAAGUGUCUGACAUUUAGAAACCACUUUAGAUAAUCUUCUGCAGCCCACUUUGCAUUCUUAUUUCUUUCAGAAGUAUAUAUAUCUUUUUUCCAGGCGGAUAAUUACUGAUAUGUGCCUUUCUAGACCUUCUGAGCCAACACUUAGCACUCCAAGCACUAGGAUUACAGGUCCUAGCAGAGAUUUUGAGGAGUGAGGAGAUAAAAAGCCUUUUUCAGACUAAGGUGGUGCAGCCCUAGGGCUGUAGCUGGACAGAGGCUGUCUGCUGGUGUGAGUAGAGGGGGCUAUACCCAGACAUUAUGGGAACAGAGACUGGAUUUGUGGCCAUGAACACCAAGAAAACAAGAGGCAAAGAGAGGCAGAUGCCAUGCAGACAAAUGUUGAGGGGUCCAGCCUUGCUGUCAAAGGAUCUGCCAGUUCUGCACUGAAAUUUUGAGUGAAGUCUUGCUGGAUAAAGUACAUUAAAAUCAAUGGAAAGUCUGGUUUAAAGGCAACAGAUGUGUUUUACUGAAGAUUAUUCAGAACCACAGGUUGGGCCCUGCCAUCUGCUGAAUUUGGAUACGAUGUCUGCAAAGCUGGUGUGGAAAUAACAUAAAACAAAACUCUGCCUUUGGGAGAGAAACUGCCAAUGCCUUUGUAGCUACAACUGUCUCCCACAGAAAAUUACCUUUCUUAUUUUGUGAAAUAUGUACCCUCUCCAUACAAAUGUAAGCUAAGGUUAAAUUCCAGCUCUCAGAGCUUGAUUUUAUCUCAAGUCCCUGCUAAAAUGCCUCAGUACUUGAUUGGAGAAGAGCAAGAGGACUCUGCUCUAAUGAGACCUGCUUUGAGUGUGGAAUUGGACCAUGGACCUUCAUAGGUCCUUUUCAACCUGUGUGGCUGUAGAAUCAAAAUUAUUACAUCUGUGCAGACGCAUGAACAUGGAAUUAUCUUUUUUUAUCAAAUUCGGUAAGGAAAGAUGGAUCUGUCAGUCAGGAAUACAAACAGAAAGACCAGACAACAGAGUUUUACUAGAAAGGUUGUUUAUUUUCUUGAAAGUUUGCUUGUAAAUAACUAUUAAAAAAAAAAAAAAAGAAAAAAAAUUAGCCUGCAUCCAGACAAAUUGCUGUUGAAAUACCCAAUCUAGUGAUUCACAGCUCCUCACCUCUGGAAGGAAGGCUUUUCCCUUCUCUUUUCAAAUGCAGUGUCUUCUCACUAAGACAUUGAUUCUCAAUGCAGCUAGAAAAUCCUCUUGAGCUUCAAAUCUAAUAACCUGUUAUUUUAUGUCCUGUGUUCUGCCAGAAUCAUGCUUAUGUUGGACAUGUCUUGGAAACAAAUGCAGUUUUGGUCUAAUUUAAUAACUUGUCUUGGACAAUAAAGCCUUGAGUCCUGCUGCUGGCCCAUUAAGAAAGAAUCCUCCUGUGCAAGCAGUAGUAGUUGUGUUCAGAAAUAGUCUCCAAACUAUUGGGAAUAAACCAACACCCAAGAAAAAUGACAGUUUGUUUAAAA